rnacentral:rRNA from 1 species
GACGAACGCUGGCGGCGUGCUUAACACAUGCAAGUCGAGCGGUAAGGCCCUUUCGGGGGUACACGAGCGGCGAACGGGUGAGUAACACGUGGGUGACCUGCCCUCAGCUCUGGGAUAAGCCUGGGAAACCGGGUCUAAUACUGGAUAUGACUCCAUGACGCAUGUUGUGGGGUGGAAAGCCUUGUGCGGCUGAGGAUGGGCCCGCGGCCUAUCAGCUUGUUGGUGGGGUGAUGGCCUACCAAGGCGACGACGGUAGCCGCCUGAG